GAUAAGGUUUCUAAACGUUUUUGUUCGUUCUUUUAUUUCUUACGUCUUUUUAUUUUGGCUCCUCGUUAAUUUGUGGUGGUGGUCUUAUUAUACGUCAAAAUCUGUAUUAUUUAUUGUACGUUUUUUGAGCAAAAAGAUAAUUCUAAAAACCUAUAAAAAAUAUAAAUAUAAAACUGUGGUGUUUUUGUGCUUUUACGUGGUAAUUACGUCUGGUAUUUGCAAAAACAUAACAAAGGGUUUCAAAUAACUUAAGUUAAAUUAUACAAAAAAAAAAAAGAACUUGUAACAUUUUACAACUGUGUGUGUCUUUUGGUGCUUUUGGAAAAUUUACAAAAAAAAAGAGAAAUAAAUUUCUUAAGAGAAAUAAAAUAAAGAAAACUAAAUCUAUUGUACUGUGUCAUUUGGUCAGUUGUCAGCUUUUAAACUAGUGAUCUGUCUUUCUGUCUUACGUUACAUUACAUUAACUAUAACAUAUUUUACACGUAUAGUUUUUGCUUUAUUUAAGUAAAAACAAACGUACGCCUAAAUAUUCUCAACGAAUUUAUUUUCGAAAACAUUUUCUUGUGUGUUGGUAUAAAUUUAUGCAACAGCUCUAGAAUAAACGUAAAAGCUAAACAAAAACUAUAUAGAAAAAAACAAAGUGAAAUUUAAAUCAAUAAAGUGUAUAUUAAAAACCAUAAAUAACAAAACACUUUAAAAAUUUAUAACUCUAAAGGAAAAAAUCAUAAACAUAAAAAUUUAAGUGUUUUCAAAAUUGGAAGUAUUUAAAAACAAAACAACGGUUAAAAAGCGUAAAGAGAGGCAAAAGGCAAGAAAAGAAAAAUAAAUUUUCAUAAUUAAGAAGUUAACAUAAUGUUAAGUUCGCUUGAUGCAUUAGCUAGUAAAAUAUCACCUGGCUCAGGAAACAAAUCUCCGUCCCAGCAGCAGCAGCAAAAACAAUCAAGUCAACAACAGUUGUCACAAACAUCUUACUAUAAACAGGAGUGCAUAGACAAUCAACAACAACAGCAGCAUCAGCAGCAGCAGCAGCAACAAUCAUCUCAUACUCAUUCGUUACGUUUAAACUGUAAUCAUUAUAAUGGUGGCUUGGAUAGCAAUGGAAACAAAUUAUGUCACAUCACUCACAAUACCAUACAUCCCUAUCACAAGCAACCGAAUUCACCAAACAGCAGCAACAAUACCAACAACCACAAUCAUAGCACGAACCUUGCCAACAGUUUGCUGCAACAGCAAAAGAUGGCAACGUACCCAGCAUCAUCGACCCCACCAACGACACCGCUCUCGGCCUCAUCUCUCUCACCCAAAGAAUGCCUGCAACAACAACAGCAACAGCACGAAUUGUUUCAACAACAGCUGCAACAGCGACGACAGAGUUUGCAACAGCAGCAGCUCCAUCACCCUCACCAGCAGCAACAGUCUGUGUCUGCACCAUUGUCGCCAACAACAACCUCCUCCCAGCCAUACGAUGAAAAUGAUUCCCAGCAUGAGUUUAGCAGUUGUCUGAAGGAAAAUGCAUUUGGUAUGAGUGAUAAAAGUAGUACAACCAAUAGCCUACCGAAUAGUCCUAUACAUAGUAACAACAAUAAUACGUCGAUGCUGAACAACAACAAUACCAGCCUCCGUAAUCACAACAUACCCAGCAACAACAAUAACAUCAGCAACAACAAUAACAACAACAAUACAACCAGUGCCAAUCGUAAUGUGGUGGACGAUGACGCUUGUUUUCGCAUGGACGCCGAUACACCGUUCGGUGAGAAGGAGCCAGAUCCAGACAAUAUUAAAAUGUUUGUUGGCCAGGUGCCAAAAUCAAUGGAUGAGGCUCAACUACGCGAAAUGUUUGAAGAGUAUGGUCCCGUGCAUUCAAUAAAUGUUUUACGGGAUAAAGCGACUGGAAUCAGUAAAGGUUGUUGUUUUGUGACAUAUUAUACCCGCCGUGCUGCCUUAAAAGCUCAAGAUGCCCUGCACAAUGUUAAAACCUUAAAUGGGAUGUAUCAUCCUAUACAAAUGAAACCCGCCGAUAGUGAAAAUCGUAAUGAACGCAAACUGUUUGUUGGCAUGCUAAAUAAGAAACUGAACGAGAACGACGUACGUAAAUUAUUUGAAGUGCACGGUGCGAUCGAAGAGUGUACGGUGUUGCGUGAUCAGAACGGUCAAAGUAAAGGGUGUGCAUUUGUGACGUUUGCCACAAAACACGCAGCGAUAUCAGCGAUUAAAGUAACUUUAAAUCAAAAUAAAACUAUGGAAGGCUGCACUUCACCAUUAGUUGUGAAAUUCGCCGAUACCCAAAAGGAAAAGGAACAAAAGAAAAUCCAACAAAUCCAAGCGAAUCUAUGGAAUUUGGCGACGAAUAUUAAUAUACCUUUGGGUCAAACACCGACAACGGUUUCGACGCCCAUGAUAACCAAUCAACCCCAACAGGCUAGUCCUGUUUUGGGCGCAGAUGCUAUAACACCAGCAUCAUUGCAGUUGUUGCAACAAUUGCAGGCAGUCGGUUUACAACAGCAGCUAUUGCAAGGUUUGGGUGCACAAACAAAUUCUGCAGAUACGGCAGCUGCCACAGCUGCUGCUGCAGCCGCUGGUCUUCUACCUCCUAUGACUGUACAAAAUUUAGCUGCUCUGGCAGCCAUGACACAACCCUCAUUGACAAAUGCUGCCACUAAUCCGGGCAGUGCCCAGUUAUCAAAUACAGCCGCCUUAUUGUAUAAUUCGAUGAAAUUUAACUCACGUUAUUCUUAUGGUUUGGGGAUGAAUCCUUUUGAAAGUGGGUCUGAUCCAAACUCCUUAGCAUCGGCCUAUAUGUCAACAGCCAGUCUACAACAAUUUGGCAGCGCCGCCUUAACUUCAUCACCUUUAGCCAGUGUUGCCUUAAGUACUGCAGCUGCUGCAGCAGCAGGAAAACAAAUCGAGGGUCCUGAAGGCUGUAAUCUGUUCAUAUAUCAUUUGCCGCAAGAAUUCACCGACACUGAUUUGGCAUCAACUUUCCUGCCAUUCGGAAAUGUAAUUUCCGCCAAAGUCUUCAUCGAUAAGCAGACAAACUUGUCCAAGUGUUUUGGUUUUGUAUCGUUUGACAACUCGGAAUCGGCGCAGGUAGCCAUUAAAGCAAUGAAUGGAUUCCAAGUGGGCACCAAACGACUAAAGGUACAGCUUAAGAAGCCCAAAGAUGCCUCCAAACCCUACUGAUAUCCAGUCAAAAAGAAACAACUGCAGCUAAAACACCUCCCAUUAAACAGCUCGCUUGCCAAGGGAUUUAAAAAAUACUUUGAAAGCAAACCCAAGUCUUUAACUUGGAGUAAAGUAUAAUUUGAGUUAUACAUUUUUCUAGAGGAGCUUUGCUGCCGUCUGUUUUCAACAGAGAAAAGAAUAACAGCCUAAAAGUAUGUGAAGAAAAAAUUCAACAAAACAAACAACACUUAUGUUAAUUAAAUCUUUUAAGCUAAAUGUGCAAAAUAAAGCCAUUGUUUUGCUAGGAAAACAUUUUGUAUAUUUUGUAUGAAUCUUUCUUUCAACUUUUUCAAUUUUAAACAGCUGCAAAUAGUAAAUAUAACUUCAUUAAAUGAAGAUUUUGUACAAGAAUUUUUGUAAAUAAUCCUUAAUUAAUUGCCC